GACGAACGCUGGCGGCGUGCUUAACACAUGCAAGUCGAACGGAAAGGCCUGCUUUCCCUUGUGGGUUGCGGGUACUCGAGUGGCGAACGGACGAGUAACACGUGACUGAUCCGCUCCCAACUUGGGUAUAAGCCUGGGCAACUGGGUCUAAUUCCCUCUAGGACUGCAGGGUGGUGCCUGUGGUGGCAAACGAUUUUCUUGUGGUCGCGGCUGAGCUCGCGGGGUGUCAGUUUGUUGGUGGGGAAAUGUCCUACCAAGGCGGGGACAGGUAGCCGGCCCGGGAGAGUGGACCGGCGAGUUGGGACGGAGAUACGGGCCAGACGCUUACGGGAAGCAGCAGUGGGGAAGAAGGCGCAGUGGGCGGAAGCCUGAUGCAGCGACGCUGAGUGGGGGAUGACGGCUUUCGGGUGGUAACCUCCUGUCGGCAGCGAGGAAGCGACCGGGAUGGAAGGGUGGUGACGGUAGUGGUAGAAGAAGCACCGGCUAACUACGUG
rnacentral:rRNA from 1 species